UGGUUACAGAAGCAGAUCAAUGGCAGU
rnacentral:piRNA from 1 species